rnacentral:rRNA from 1 species
AUACGGAGGGUGCAAGCGUUACUCGGAAUCACUGGGCGUAAAGCGCGCGCAGGCGGCCAUUUAAGUUGGAUGUGAAAGCCUACGGCUCAACCGUAGAACUGCAUCCAAAACUAUUUGGCUAGAGUGUGGGAGAGGAAGAUGGAAUUAGUUGUGUAGGGGUAAAAUCCGUAGAGAUAGCUAGGAAUACCAAAAGCGAAGGCAAUCUUCUGGAACAUUACUGACGCUGAGGCGCGAAAGCGUGGGGAGCAAACAGGAUUAGAAACCCUAGUAGUCC